CUUUCAUUUAGAGGAAGUACAAGUCGUAACAAGGUAUCCGUAGGUGAACCUGCGGAUGGAUCAUUACCAAAGGACUCUGUCCCAACGUAUUGUGAACUGUUUUGAAUCACAGUCAGUUCUCUGCUCAAAACAACGGCCGUUAAAAGCAUUAGUGAGGGCGAAUUCACAGAGAGCCUCAAAACUCUCUAGGGAUGAGGGCUGACUGUACCCCUAAACGCCUUAUUUCCAAACUGAAGUCUACUUAGUAAUAACUAAAGAUAACUUUUAGCAACGGAUCUCUUGGCUCUC
rnacentral:misc_RNA from 1 species